rnacentral:rRNA from 1 species
UGAGGAAUAUUGGUCAAUGGCCGCGAGGCUGAACCAGCCAAGUAGCGUGAAGGAUGACGGCCCUACGGGUUGUAAACUUCUUUUAUGCGGGAUUAACGUGAGGUACGUGUACCUUCUUGCAGGUACCGCAUGAAUAAGCAUCGGCUAACUCCGUGCCAGCAGCCGCGGUAAUACGGAGGAUGCAGGCGUUAUCCGGAUUUAUUGGGUUUAAAGGGAGCGCAGACGGCAUGUCAAGUCAGCUGUGAAAGUUCGGGGCUCAACCUUGGAAUUGCAGUUGAAACUGGCGUGCUUGAGUUCGGUCGAGGCAGGCGGAAUUCGUGGUGUAGCGGUGAAAUGCUUAGAUAUCACGAAGAACCCCGAUUGCGAAGGCAGCCUGCCAGGCCUGGACUGACGUUGAGGCUCGAAGGUGCGGGUAUCGAACA